rnacentral:lncRNA from 1 species
AUGCGCUGCUCGCUCCACUGUGCCACCACGAUGCACGGAUCCUGCUGGUGCUUUUGGCAAGCCUGCAUGAAUAGACAACGCCCAAUGUAUGCUGCAGUCACAGCAGUUAUCACAGCUAUCACAAAUGGGAGCAGAGUCCUUCUCUGUGGGAAACACGAGCUGCUGAGGGUUUCGGUGCCCCUAAGGGUUACCAACACCCUGAGGAGCCUUGGGAUGGAUGCAGCUUCACUUGGUGCAGCUCAGAGGCAGCACAAUUUGGGUGUCUGCAUCAGCUGUGCUGACCUUCUCUCUCCACUGCAAACACUUUCCCUAUGCUUGACAUCACCUCCAGCCCUACAAUUGCUUGUUUUGUUUGCUGCCCAUUCUAUUAGCAGCUUGUUGGUGUCAGAAGCUCCAAAGAAAUCCUUUGUUUUAAUUACCCCAGGGAAACACCAUCACCUCGUACUGCUGCUGCAGCUCAGGGCACCUGAACUGACCCAUGCAGCUUUGUCAAUGGCAUUAAUCACACACAGCUCACCAGCUGGAGCCUUUCCAGUCCCACCUUUCCAGUCCCACUAUGCAGCAUGCAGCAUUUCUCCCAAGCUUUGCCAAACCCCUUUGCAAUCUGCCCUGGCUUCCUUUUGCCAAUCUGGAUCCAUCCCGUCAACCCAGGCUGCCUUCCCAGGAUCUGCUGCCAAAUUAUGUGUGUCCCAUAGGUAAACUUAUCUCACAGGUGGGUCUGAAAGUCCUGCAGAGGGGAUUCUGUCUGAUUGCAGCUGGGGAUGCUUCUCCCAGCCCCUGGUAAGGCUCAUUCCAAGCAUGGUGAGAAGGGUUGAAGCUGCACAAAAAGGGGUUCAGCUGCACAGAGCAGAGGUCUGCUUGCUAUUUCUUUCUUUCUUUCUUCUUCUUCUUUCUUUUUUUUUUGAGAAAGAAGUUCUGUGGCUCCCUCUCUAGAUGGAAAAAGGAAAGCAAAGUUCCACUCCUAUGGCCUGCUGAAGAGCUUGCUUACGAGGGGAAAUUAAUCCAAAAUUAACUAGUGGUGUGAAUUGCAAGUGGAUUAGUUAAAUUACAUUAAACGCAGGUCUGGAUACUUUCAUUUAAAAUUAAAGUGGCCUUAAU